GCUCCAGACACUAACUCAGGGUCAGCUUCUUAGAGACCCAGGAGUCCCCUCUCCCUACUGCGUGAGAAUGGAGUUUAGCAUGUGCCUACUCAACAGGGGCCAAGACACGGGAAGCUGCGGGGCAGACAGCGAAUACGUUUUCUGGUGAAAUCAGAGAUUCACAUGGACUGCAUGGAAAACCUGUGGGGUAGGAAACCGACUCCCCACCUCAAACAGGAUCUCAGGGAAUCUGAUGGGUGAGUCUUAGAACAGAUAGAUGCUCACAGUCCCCAUUUUAUGCUUCUUUUAGAAAAUGGUAUUUAACAGCCCAGAGACUUGUCACGUGAUGCAGGAAGCACACACCAUCCGGGCCCCUCAGGUACAUCUUCCUUCCCCAGGACAAACCCUACUUAGCAUGGAGGAGUUAACAAAAUCACAGCCCAAGAUGGUAUGACAGCAGCUUGAUUAAUAACGAUUAUCACAGCAGAUGGAAAACUGUAGACAAACUUUCCAUAGAAUGAGUCUACCACAAAAUUUCUUGAUGAGACAGAAGGAUGGUUAGCGACCACAGACUUAUUCCUUACUGAACGGAAUAAAAUUGCUGAAUUUCUACUCACCCCUUUUGAUAAUUUUCACAGAUCUCCAGUGGCUUACAUUUGAGAUUCAGACCCCUCAUUCAUGUGUGAAAUAUACUGCUUACUAUGCGGACGUGUGAUACUUCAUAGGGCAGCGAACGGCGCGUUCCUCCUUAAAUGUAUGUGUGUGCAUGUGUCUCUGAGCAAAAGUGACUACAAAGGUAUUCUGUUCAGCACUUCAGCUUUCCAGUGGGUAUGGAUACUUGGACCUCUGCUGCUGAGAGAAAGCAAGUUUUACACCCACCACUAGAAUGUUUUUUGAUCAUUUGGGUUGUUUUGCUUCGUCCCUGCUUUUGUUGUUUAAUUUCCAUUACAGCGCGAAUAGCCUCAGCAGACGCUAACCAUUAAUUCUGGAACACAGAGCCAGCGUCUCUUUUUAUUCCCUCCCUCCCGCCACAGCUCAUCUCAACAUGGAAGAGAAAGGACCUUGCCCUCCUCCUUGUGCCGCUGCUGGAAGGAGAAAGAGCCCUCCGUCCCCUCAUGUCUGCUGCAGGACAGGGGGCCCAAGAGGGCCUCAGCACACUGGCUGCAAGACGGAGACCAGUGACCAGAGCCAAAGCAAGUGGAAAGCAAGGAAAGCCUCCUCUCUUGGAUCCAAAGAGCCUCCCGGUGCUGGGUAAAGAUGCCAGUCGGUGCGCGAGUCUUCAAAUGUUGCUCUGCUCCUCCUGCCCCCAUACCAAGGGGAGCCCCCUCCAGCAACUUUGCUUAAUUAACCUGUUCAGAGAAGCUAGAAAACCCCUUCAGCUGAAUAGUUCACAAAUUGAGCCUCAACUGCCAGCAGAUUCCUGUCUUGUAUACUAUUCAGAGUAUUAAUUAUCCUAUCAAAUACUCUGUGUUCCUGCCCCACUCUUAAAGAACCAAAAUCCAAAGGAGAAUGCAUUUGCUAAGCAAACCCAGACACACGCACCUGCACUGUAUCAGUGAGAGGCGUCAGGCAGGGGAAGAUGUGGAGCUGAGGCGUUUCUGCACCGUGAUUUUAAACGACUUGCCACCAAAAUGGUCCUGGUGAAGGCCGAGGGGCUGAGCCAGAAGAACAUUGACCAGGAGCUUGCAGGUCUGGGCUCCGGCUCCCGCUUUCACUCCUCACCGGCCUGGCUGCCUGCUUUCCUGCCUGCCUGCCCCUUGGCCUAGUCACUUGUCCUCCCUCACAAUCAGCUUCCCAUCUGUAAAAUGUGUCUGGAAUUCACGGGACUGUUGCAAGAACCUAUGAGAUAAUGAAGGUGGAAGCACUUUGUAAACUCUAAGGAAUUACACAAGUGUAAGGGCCCUGGCCAUGUCUCAAUGGCAUGACCGCUUCCUUGCUCGUGAACCAAUAGGAUUGGGAAGUAGGUUAGGGAUGGAGGUGCCCUCUCGGCCUCACCUAUCCCCUCUGAGAUACAUGUGUGUUUACCUGGCCCCCACUGAUAGUGAGACUACCAAGGAUGGCUCCGUUUAAAAAUAGGACAACAUGUAUUGCCUAUUAAAGAGGGAAAUAUGCUCUGGGGAAGGUUCUAAGUAAGAGUUUGGGGGCCAGAGGGUCAGGGUUGAAAUCAUUCCUCUGCGCCUGGCUGUGUGACACUGGGUAAGUUACUUAACCUCAAUAAGCCUCCAUUUCCUCCACUGUAAAAUGCAGGUGGCCAUAACAUUGCCCUUCUUAGGGUUACUGUAAUGAUUAAAUGAGAGAACGCAUGUUAACCAUUUGUCUCAGGACCUGGCACGUGGUCAAGUCGGUAAGAGCUACCCAACCUUUGUGCCAUGGAGUUCGGAGCAGGCCUCCAGACGGUUGUUGGUAAAUAUGGUGGGCAUUACGUGAAUUGGUGGUGUUCAGCCAUUCAUUUCAGCUACUUUCUUAAGCCAUCCAAGGCUUUGUUCAAAUGCUACCACCUCCAGAAACCCUUUCUUAAUCCAGUCCCCAAGCCUGCUCCCCGCGAUGUAGUCAUUUAACUGUUAGGUCGGGCCAGCUUCAUGGGCACAGGAACUGUGCAGCGGUAAAGAGCCCUCACUCGCAAGACCCACAUGUGGCUUCCUGCUCUGCUGUCUUUUGGAUCAAGGGACCUUGUAUUUUCACUUGGCACUGGGCCCUGCAAAUUAGGUAGCUGGUCCAGGUUACAAUAUUUCAUUUUUGCCCCAGUUCUGUCUCAGAAAUUGUAUAAUUUGUUGUUGACAGGCCUUUCAGAAUACACAAUUUGUCCUCAUUCUUCAUGAAUUCCAGAAUUGUGACUUUGCCCACUUGCUGAAUUUAUGUUACCCCCAAAUCAACACCGUGGCACUUUCACAAUCAGGCGCAGAUGUGUGCAGAGUGGAGAAAAACUCGAAUCGUCCCACACACAUGUUCCCAUGUGAGGUCAAACCAGGGGAUGCUCUGCCCGCUCAUUUUAAUUUUCAACCUGUAAACAAGUGUCCUCUUUGUGGUACGUUUAAUGACACAUUUUUUGCACCUUUGUGCUUUUUGUUGAUGCUAUUGCCAUUUAAAAUGGCCCCCAAGGGUAGGGCUGCAGUGCGUCUAGCAUCCCUAAGUGCACAAAGGCUGUGAUGUGCCUUAUGGAGAAAAUACAUGUGUAGAUAUGCUUUGUUCACCCAUGAGUUAUGAUGCUGUUGGCCAUGAGCUCAACGUUAAUGAGUUAACAAUAUGUGUUAAAUAUCAUGUCUGUAAACAGACACACACUCACAAAGACAAGGCAUGUAUUGAUCAACGGACAAAGAUGUUGUGACCAGAGGCUCACAGGAACAUAACCCUGUGUUUCCCCUAGGAAGAAGAGUUCAGUAUUCACUUGAUUCAGUGUUCACAGAGACUUUAUAGAACAUUACUACCAAGAAUAACAGGAAUUGCCUGUAAUUCCUUUAAGGUUGAUGACCCGUUUUAUUUCUUUUCUCACCUUCCCAUCAUCACCUUGGCCCUCUUCUCAGUGCCUAGGAGAGUACUAUGAAUAUACUGGUAUUCAGAAAAGUUAACUACAGUAAGUGACGAUUCUGUCUUUGAAGAAAUAUUAACAGUUGCUUGUUGAUUCUGAGAUUGUAUGGCUUGUUUCAUACUGCAUCACCCUCCCUUUGUGAGACUGUGGAUAUUUGAAAGGCUAUUCUGCAAAACUUGGAGGGUACUCUCAGUCUUUUCCUUGUUGAAAUGAAAUAGUAGAGCAGGCGAUGGUCACGGACUAAUGCACCUAGAUUCGUUAUAGUCCUAGGACAAAAUAUUAAAGACCCAGACUUGAAACGUGUUAAGGAGAGAGUUGUCAUAGAGUUCUAACGGGAUCCAUAGCAAACUAAGGGGUCUGUAUCUUUAGGAAAAUUCUGGGUAAGGGAGAGCUCCUACUCUGAGUUCCUCUUGAAUGAACCAUUUAUAAGGGUCACCUGGAAUAAAUAGCGUGGCGAGAAAUGGCAUCCACUACUUAGGACAGAAGUUAAAGACUUCUAAAAAAAUAACCUACUUAGCAUCUGUCUAAAGCAGAUGGGAUUAUGGGAUCCCAAGCCAGGAGUGACUCAGCAUCUUAAAAACGCAGAAAUGGAUGAAAUGAGUUUUGUCAGUUGUCACUAGGAUAAUGCUCAUGUCCAUUCUAUCAUAGGUGAGCCAAAGGUGAGCAUCUUUUAUUUUCUUUUUUUUUUAGAGAGGGGUUUUACCAUGUUGCCCAGGCUGGUCUCGAACUUCUGUGCUUAAGCAAUCCACCUGCCUCAGCCUCCCAAAGUGCUGGGAUUACAAGUGUGAGCCACCAUACCCGGCUGGUGAGCCUAUUUUCUAAGUACUAAAAAUGCCUAUUCUCUAUUGGCUGAGUCCAAAACCUGCUGAGGUCUAUCAUGAUCCCCUUUAGGAAGAAGAGAAUUUGACUUGGUUGUUUUAUUCAAGGCAUUUGAGGAAUAACACGUGUGUUGAAGGGCGUCAAAAGGAAUGAGCAUCUGGCACCUGGACCCAAUUGCUCCUCCCAUCCCAUCUUGGGCCAUCCACCUCCAGGUUCAUGGUCCUGGCUGCUGGCUCUGCCCUCCUUCCUUGGAGGCAUCUCCAUAGCUAGGUAGGUUUCUUCCAAAGUGGCCGUCUUCGAAAGUAAUCGGCACAGACUAUGAGGUAAACAAGUAAGGCUGAGAGAGACCUGCCCCUGAGAAAGACAAAGUUCAGAUUUGACAGACAACCCAUUGAGGAGGGCGACAUAAAAGCACAGCAGGUAAUAAAGAACCUAGGCAUGUGUCCUGACGGCUGAUGAAUACAAUCUGCUAGACAAUGUGUCUUUUGAGAAGAGAAAUUAAAAGAGCCUCACCACCCUCAAUGACGUGUCUCUUUGGGUUUGGCUGGUAAAAAGCAAUAAGCUUAUGUGAAUUGAAAGGCAGGCAGGAAACAGGAGGUUUCAGCUGGAGGAGCGGCGGUCCAUAAAGACCUGGCAGGAGGGAAGAGCAGGUUGCCAUGGAAUGAAGAAACUAUGGCGGGGAUUGAGGGAAACCAGUCCUGAUGUGCAGGAGGAUUCCAGGCCCAAUCUUACUGGAUACAAGCCUAGCUCUGGACAGGAGGGUAGCUACUUCUGCAAGUGUCUUCUCUACACUAAGCUCUUCCCACCCAAACGGAGCUCACCGCCCCCCUUGUGUACUCUUCGGGCACGUCUUCACCAGAACACUCGAUACAUUGCCAAAUCAUUGUCUGUUUAGAUGAGAGUCUUGACGGCAGGGACUCUUGUUCACUUCUGUUCUCCCAUUGGCAAGUUCCUGACCAUGAGCCUCAGCUGUCUUGUCUGUAAAGUGGUACUGGUGUCUGCCUCUUAGGCCUAUCAGCAUCCCCUUGGACACUCCACAUCCCAUGAACCACAUCCACAAGCGACGGUCUUUGGUGUGCCACUUCCUGUUGAAGCUGCCUGUCUACCAGAAUUAGCCUUUCCAUAGGUAAGGCCCUGUCGGGGAAGGUGACGGGGAGCUGUCCAACCAAGACUCCUUAGGAGUCAUUCUCUCUAAUCGACAGCAACGAAAACAAAGGUGAUAUUGCCUCAUCAUCUUUCUUAAAGGUAGGUGUUUAACAUUUUUUAA